UUUGUGAUAGUAUAGAAUCAUACCCUAAACUUAGGAUUUAGAAACGAGGAGUCCCUCUCAUAAA
rnacentral:tRNA from 1 species